UGCUUCUUUACCCAUUACCGUCACUCACGCUUCGUCACAGGCGAAAGCGGUUUACAACCCGAAGGCCGUCAUCCCGCACGCGGCGUUGCUGCAUCAGGCUUCCGCCCAUUGUGCAAUAUUCCCCACUGCUGCCUCCCGUAGGAGUCUGGGCCGUAUCUCAGUCCCAAUGUGGCCGGUCACCCUCUCAGGCCGGCUACCCGUCAAAGCCUUGGUAAGCCACUACCCCACCAACAAGCUGAUAAGCCGCGAGUCCAUCCCCAACCGCCGAAACUUUCCAACCCCCACCAUGCAGCAGGAGCUCCUAUCCGGUAUUAGCCCCAGUUUCCUGAAGUUAUCCCAAAGUCAAGGGCAGGUUACUCACGUGUUACUCACCCGUUCGCCACUCGAGCACCCCACAAAAGCAGGGCCUUUCCGUUCGACUUGCAUGUGUUAAGCACGCCGCCAGCGUUCGUCCUG
rnacentral:rRNA from 1 species